rnacentral:rRNA from 1 species
AGAACGAACGCUGGCGGCGUGCCUAACACAUGCAAGUCGAACGAGAAAGGGGCUUCGGCUCCGAGUAAAGUGGCGCACGGGUGAGUAACACGUAGGUAACCUGCCUCUAAGAUUGGGAUAACUUGUCGAAAGACGAGCUAAUACCAAAUAAGACCACCGUCUCCUCGGGGACAGGGGUCAAAGGUAGCCUCUAUUAUAAGCUAUCGCUGAGAGAUGGGCCUGCGUACCAUUAGCUAGUUGGUGAGGUAACGGCUCACCAAGGCAAAGAUGGUUAGCUGGUCUGAGAGGAUGAUCAGCCACACUGGAACUGAGACACGGUCCAGACUCCUACGGGAGGCAGCAGUGGGGAAUAUUGCGCAAUGGGCGAAAAGCCUGACGCAGCAACGCCGCGUGAGUGAUGAAGGCCUGGUCGUAAAGACUCUGUCGGAGGAACGGAAUAGCUCCUGAGGUUAACAGCCUCGGAGGUGACGGUACCUCAAAGAAGACACCGCGAAC